rnacentral:rRNA from 1 species
UUUCUCCGCCGGCGACCGGCGCACGGGUGAGUAACACGUAUGCAACCUGCCCCUGUCAGGGGGACAACCCGCCGAAAGGCGGGCUAAACCCGCGUACAUGCCACCGGGGCAUCCCGGAGGCAGGAAAGGCUUCGGCCGGACAGGGAUGGGCAUGCGGCGCAUUAGGCAGUAGGCGGGGUAACGGCCCACCUAACCGACGAUGCGUAGGGGUUCUGAGAGGAAGGUCCCCCACACUGGUACUGAGACACGGACCAGGCUCCUACGGGAGGCAGCAG